rnacentral:rRNA from 1 species
UACGUAGGGCGCAAGCGUUGUCCGGAAUUAUUGGGCGUAAAGAGCUCGUAGGCGGCUUGUCGCGUCGGCUGUGAAAACCUGGGGCUCAACCCCGGGCCUGCAGCCGAUACGGGCAAGCUAGAGUUCGGUAGGGGAGACUGGAAUUCCUGGUGUAGCGGUGAAAUGCGCAGAUAUCAGGAGGAACACCGGUGGCGAAGGCGGGUCUCUGGGCCGAUACUGACGCUGAGGAGCGAAAGCGUGGGGAGCGAACAGG